UUAAAUUAUUAUUUUUUUUUUUUUAAAUAAAAACGCCCGAGUACUGUCGCGCGCGUGCCUCAGGGAAGCGGCAUCUCGGGACUGAACUUCACGCGCAAGAAGAGGGCAACGGCAAAUUUAAAGUACGUCAUUAAUAUGGCGCCAAAAGACUUUUAAGUGUGAGCUUAUUUUUGUUGUAGGCUUGCACGAGCCCAGUGUACGCCUGUGCAGUCGCACGAGGCGGGGAGAGGGAGCGCGAGAUUGAGAGAGAGAGCGAGCGAGAGAGAGAGAGAGCGAGAGAAACAGGGAGGGAGGGAACACGAUGAGAUAAACGUUUUGGUGGCAGCGCGUUGCGAAACUACCCCGAUCCAACUUGCACAGCUUUUUGAAGAUAUAUCGACCUUUUUACGAAUUCUGCAAUAAACGUAAUUCUUAAAUAAAAACCUCCAAACUGACCGAAGAGCCGGCGGUGGACCCUGGAUUACCACAUAAAAUGCGGCAUGAUUAGCUAGCGGCUAACUGAAGCGCGCUAGUUAGCUAGGAGUGUUAGCUGAUAAAUUGUGUAUUUUGGGGCACGUAUACGAAGUCAAACAUACAGCCUUACUACCUAGUUGUGAUUAAAAGAGCGCAGGCGGCCAUCUCGGCGUUGCUUGCGUGUCGUCGCCUGUUUUUCCGCGGGUGUCCGGCUAGCUCAGCGGGCUAUGUGAAGAGAGUAGUGGCAGCCAGUUAGCCGAGCUGUAGCUAGCCGCUCACUUUACUUUACUUCACUCGGGUUCCUGGGAGGUGAGCGGACCCACGGGGGAUGUUAGCUACCGUUACCGCGGACCGCCGAGUCGCUCUGCCCGCCGAUGAUCUCCUAAUCCCGCUGCACCGCCCGCCCCGCCACCGAGGACUCCUUUCCUCCCAUUGCAGAAACUGCCUGGCCGCAAGAUGGAGAGCGAGAAUAAGAGGAGGAAGUACUCCACCAGCAGCAAUGACUCAGACACCACUGACAGUCACGUGACUUCAUGGUCCAAGUCCUCCAAGAACACAGGCACCAGUAGCACGUGGGUCCGGCAAGAGCAGAAGAAGCCGUCAGAGGUGUUUCGGACUGACUUCAUCACUGCCAUGAAGCUACCGGAUUCGGCCCAGCUGAGCUCUGAUGACUUCUACGUUCUGUCAGAUCCUUGGCGACAGGAGUGGGAAAAGGGUGUCCAGGUGCCGGCCAACGUGGAUGCUAUCCCGGAGCCUGUGGUUAGGGUGCUGCCUGAGGUCAGCCGGAUCUCGUUCUGCUCCCCGUCAUACAGUCGAGUGUUUCCAGAUCCGGGUCAAGGACAAGCACAGCCACUUGCAGAACCACUCGCCCUCUACGACCUCGAUGACCUUGAUGUGUGUUGGUUGGAGUUGGUCAAUGAAGAAUUCAGGGAGUUGGCACUUCCUGAGCUGGAUGAGCUAACGAUGGAGCGCAUCAUAGCAGAACUGGAGAUCCAGUGUGAGGAGAACAUGCAGCUGGCCAUUGAGACAGGCGAAGGCCUGGGCAUCGAAUAUGACGAGGAUGUGGUGUGCGACGUGUGUCGUUCUCCAGAGGGCGAGGAUGGCAAUGAGAUGGUCUUCUGUGAUAAGUGCAAUGUCUGUGUGCACCAGGCAUGUUACGGCAUCCUGAAGGUCCCCCUGGGAAACUGGCUGUGUCGCACCUGCGCCUUGGGCGUGCAGCCCAAGUGCCUACUGUGCCCCAAGAGGGGUGGGGCCCUGAAGCCCACCCGCAGUGGCACCAAAUGGGUCCAUGUCAGCUGUGCCUUAUGGAUCCCUGAGGUGAGCAUCGGCUGUCCAGAGAAAAUGGAGCCCAUCACAAAGGUGUCCCACAUCCCCCCCAGCCGCUGGGCACUCUCCUGCAGCCUGUGCAGGGAGCACAUGGGUACCUGCAUUCAGUGUUCCAUGCCUUCCUGCAUUGUGGCCUUCCAUGUGACCUGCGCCUUUGACCAUGGCUUGGAGAUGCGCACCCUCCUGGCUGAGAAUGACGAGGUGCGCUUCAAGUCCUACUGCUUGGAGCACAGUGGAGGAGCAAGGGCUGGAGGUGAGCAGACCUCUGGUUCAGAUCAAGCUCCACCGGAGCGAGCGGACAAGGACAAGCUAGAGAAGGCCAGCCUGCGGAAGCAAAAGUUGCAGGAGCUAGAAGAUGAGUUCUAUCGGCUAGUGAACCCCCAAGAUGUGGCGGAGAGCCUGGGUCUUCCCGAUGUCCAUGUUGACUUCCUCUACCAAUUCUGGAAGCUACGGCGGAAAUCCAACUUCAACCGACCACUUCUGGCCCUCAAGCGGGAUGAGGUUGACAACUUGGCCCAGCAGGAGCAGGAUGUCCUGUACCGCCGCCUCAAGCUCUUCACCCAUUUACGGCAAGACUUGGAGCGGGUCAGAAAUUUGUGCUACAUGAUCACUCGGCGUGAGAAGAUGAAACACUCCCUGUGUGACCUGCAGGAGAAGAUCUUUGACCUCCAGAUCCAGCUCAUUAAUGAGGACUUGGCAGGAGAAAAAGCCCUGAGAAGGGAGAAGGUCAAGCAGAAUGGAGUUAAGGAAAGGGGGAAGGAACGCAGGAGAAGAGCUUCUGCAAAGCGGGAGAGAUGGAAAGCUGGAAAAGGGUCCUUGCUCAAGCAGCUGGGUUUGCCAAAGCCCUACUCUUUGUACGAUGGCUGGCUGCCACAGCCUGUACAGAUCACGGCCGACGACAUGCUGGGCCGGUGGUCCCUGGAUGGCGAGCCCCAGGACACCACAGCCAGCCUGCUGUCAAACCAGCUACUGCAGGGUGAAGAGAGCCUGCUCAUGGUGGACCACUCCAUGAAGCCUGCUUGGAAGACACCCCAGCCUAGUAGGAAGGCCAGAGGCAAGCCUCGGAGCAAGGGCCACAAGGCCCACCUCGAACCCACCCGUAGCACUGCCCCCAGCACAGCCAAGGGAGGCAGGACCCUCCUGGAGGAGAAAGGUCGGAAUGAGGCCAAACGGUCUGAGAGAGCCCGCUCAUCCUCCAGAGCCCAGCAUCUGGCCCGCAGGGGGCCUGAGCCAAGAGAGGAGCAGAGCCAGCUUGCACCACAGCCCCCAAUCUCCAAAAUGGACUCCUGUCACAUCUCGGAGGAUUGCGGGCCCUGGAACAGCCAAUCCACCCCAACUCUGGAAGUCGGCUGUCCUGUCCAAGUGCCUGAGGCUUGGGGGAGAGGCGUAGGUGGGGCUGAGGUAGGGGGUGGGGCAGCAGUGCGAUUCCGACUUCCUCGGCAGAGCAAAUCCCGUGCCAAGGGAGGGGAGCAGGAAGCAGGGCAGGAGCCUGCAGGGAAAGACAGUUCCCUCUUUGACCCAGAGACUGACGGAUAUUACUCAGAUGCGGAGCUGAGCGACUCCGACAUGCACUCCAACCGUAGCGGCAGGCUCCGUUUCUCCCAGUUGCACUCUGGGAAGGAGGAGGUCCUCCGGCGGAGCGUGCUGGCCUCUUAAAAGAACUGCAGAAAGACUAACAGUUGCCGAAACAAAGGCAGCAGCGGUGUAGAACUAACUGCCGUGAUCCUUGCUGUUCUCAGCACAGUUUGUUUCUACAGAUCACUUUCACCAACUCAAAUCUGUUUUUCUACAUUUCUGUCAUCAUAUUCUUAUGGCUACAUUGUCCUACUGGAGACGUUAGUCCAGAGACAUGGGUGUUUGUGGAAAUUGUAACCCUGUGUUUCAACCACAAAAGACCAACAUUCUUUUCUGGUCUUCAGUAGAACAUUGAGGAGUCCACAAAGGAAACCAUGCGACUCCUCUCAGCGGCAGCUUGUGCUGCUCCUUGAAGAUGCAAGUGCAGGUCGACUACUUGUGGGGCAUUAUGACCUGGUUCAGGUGGUGUUCUCCCUCACUUCGUACCUAAGAUCUGAAAUGCUGGUGGGGUGUCGGAGACGGGGCUGGCUGCUCGCAAGGAACCCACCUCGCCAUCUCUCCAACCUAGAGUCUGAUGGACUGACUGGCUAUGUGGGUGGAGGGACCGAGCGUCGCCAUUACACCGCCUCGCAGUCGCAUCUCGGUGUCACUGAAGCCCUUCGCUGGCUCGCAGCUCCUGUGUAGGUGUCACAGGGUUUGAGAUCCCCCCCUUUCCCCCCCCUCCCUAUUUUUGUUUUUCUGAAACAUGGCCGCUUUUGCAGUCCUUCCAAGGCGGCUCAGAGACCCUCGAGCAUGGAGCAGUUUGAGCCACGGCGAGUCAUCUUGAUGGCCAUGAAGCUUGCAAGAGGUGACACCACGGUGGCUUUGUCCUCCUGCAGAGACAAUGACAUAUCGGUGUCCAUAGCAUUGUGUUCGGUCCCAAUGUUGUUCCUUUGCGGCUCUUGGUGGAGCAGCGAGAGAAACUGUCAGCAACAGUGGGAUUUUACAACUGGGAAACACUGGUCUUUGAGCUAGAGUCCUGGUUACGUUUUAAGAAUGCUGGGAAGGUUUUCUAGCAACCGACAACCCGAUCAGAGGAAUGUCAUUUUUACAGUGAUAAAGGCCAAGAACUUCUGUUCUUGUGGUUUUGCUUUCAAAGGGGAAUGUCAUCAUAUCAGCAAGUCAUCUUCCUCUGUGUUAGCUGCUUAAUCCAUUAGGGAUUGAAUCAAGGCUGUAGUGGACUGCUAAUUCUUGGUUUUGUAUGCACCAACAAUGUAUAUUACAGUACUAGCAAUCUUUUUAUUUCUUUCCUGUAACAGGCUUCGCAAGCUGUUUUUGUAGGCGUUUAGCUCCGGUACCUAGACUAGAAUACUGACAGUUAUUGCAAUUAUUACUUGAGCUUGCUUUCUGUGUACUUCAACAGAUUUAAUUUUGGCUUCUUAAAAGUCCCAAACGCCACUGCUUUAAGCUUCUGUGUUCUGCAUCCAGAGUCCUGAGCUGUUCUCACACAGAAGGAUCAAAGAAACAUACUUAAAGGACAAAUAACGACACCCAUGUGUUCCAUAGUAAGUGUUUUCAUCCUACCCCUCGAGUAACACGCUGCACCCUAAUGGGGGUGAAGGUGAGGCUCUCGUCCUGAGACAUUUACCCUGCCCGUGUGGGUCCACGCUGUCUGGAGCUCCGCUCCCUCGCUCUCCGUGCCACACGAGCCUCGACUCCAUUUCUAGGCUUCGGUAGAACCAUCAUUUGACAUGAGAAAACGCUUCGGAGGUAAUUUCUUGACUGAGGACAAUCGUCAUUUAAAAAAAAAAAAAAAAAAAAUCAUACAAAUUCAGUGACACAUUUUGCAUCUUCCCUAUAUGUUCUCACUAAUUUGCAAAAUGUACAUAUUAUAUAAAAACAUUCACUUCUUGAAGUUCAGUUCAAGACUUUUAUUUUGGACCAUGAACUGCUAGCUUUUAAGUGCCUAUGACAAAGGGUUUUGUUCCAAUUGCUAGGUCACAUACUGUUUGUUUUCCAUAAGAAAGUAUGAGUGCAGUGCUACACAGUUGGCGACUGAUGGGUCCUGAUCUUCAGAGAGUGUCCUAGUGUCACUCAGAUGUGGUGUCACUGCUUAGAUAGAUCUGUUGCGUCUUGUGCACCUCUGAUUCACACUCCUCCUGAACCCUUUGUUUCCUUUAAGACUCUGUCAAAAGGGGUGUCACUCUACUAAAUUCACAUGGCUUCAGGGCAGACUUUUUUUUUUUUUUUUUUAAAAUCGAAACAUCGAGGUUUCGGUUGUUGCCCCAGCCCCUUACGUAGAGGUGAUCUUAUUUGUCCUUUAAAGGUGUUCCCUGUUUUUGUUGCCAUGUACAAUUCCUGAAACAUUUCUGCUUUGCAUCAUUUAUUGAUACGAUAAUAUGAAUGUUACAGGGGUUUUCUCCCUUCUGUAUUCUUUGUUUCAAAGAAUGUUGUGCCAUUUGUUAAUAGCAAAGAGAAAUAUUGAAGAUAUAUUAAAAAGAGCUAUUUUAAAUUAUUUUUGGCUUUUUUUUGCAAUAUUUAUUUUCUUGUAUUAGAAUCUUCUUUGUAGUAAAAAGAAAAACGAAACAAAAAAUGUAUUUUCAUUAGUGCAGAAACCUAUUUUUUCCUUUUUUGUACAUUUUCCAUGUUAAGCAAUCUUUAAAGCAAUAUGAUGUACGAACUGUUGUUCCACGUGGCUGUGGCUGUGUCUGUCUGCAUGCUGUUUGUGUUGCCUUAACGAUGGCUGCGUCUCCCAUGGCCCCCCACCCGUCACCCCUGCCAUCUCCGGUGUGGUUGACCAGUACAGUCAAUAAAGCUGUGCUUUCU